rnacentral:rRNA from 1 species
UCGGGAAUUUUGGGCAAUGGGGGAAACCCUGACCCAGCAACGCCGCGUGAAGGAUGAAGUAUUUCGGUAUGUAAACUUCGAAAGAAUAGGAAGAAUAAAUGACGGUACUAUUUAUAAGGUCCGGCUAACUACGUGCCAGCAGCCGCGGUAAUACGUAGGGACCAAGCGUUGUUCGGAUUUACUGGGCGUAAAGGGCGCGUAGGCGGCAUGACAAGUCACUUGUGAAAUCUCUGGGCUUAACCCAGAACGGCCAAGUGAUACUGUCGCGCUAGAGUGCAGAAGGGGCAAUCGGAAUUCUUGGUGUAGCGGUGAAAUGCGUAGAUAUCAAGAGGAACACCUGAGGUGAAGACGGGUUGCUGGGCUGACACUGACGCUGAGGCGCGAAAGCCAGGGGGAGCAAACGGGGAUU